rnacentral:lncRNA from 1 species
UAUUUUUUGAGUAUCUAUUACGCAAAAGGCACAUGACCCGACAGUGAGGCCAGCCACUUCACCACUGGGCACCUACUAACUUUCAUACUUAAGAUGCAUAAAAAGAAGAGAAAGAAGAGAUGAAGAUUAAGAAGAACGUAUCUUGCCAAGCGAAAGAGAAUACAUUUAAGUGAAAAACAUUAAAAACUCAGAGAGUGUUUAAAAAUUCCUCCAAGGAUACAAAGGGGGCGAAUAAGAAAGAGUGACAGAGGUGAAGUUCUGUAAUGUCACCAUUCAUGUAAGCAUUAGAGGUCUGGAACCAAACCUGCAGUAUCUCUGAGGUAUGCCUGUAACAAUGAAGACACUUUAAAUAAAGGUAGCCCCAUCAUGGAUUAUAUUUCUAAAGCCUGGGAUGCUAACAUGACGGCAGGACAAAGAAGAGCCAUCUUAGACCUAGAGAGGGAAGGCACACACUGAAGACAGCAAAUCCUCUAGAGAAUCUUGGACCACCCAUCUGUGGACUGUGAAAGAG